rnacentral:rRNA from 1 species
ACCCAGUGUGACUCGUCACACUAUCAUUAACUGAAUCCAUAGGUUAAUGAGGCGAACCGGGGGAACUGAAACAUCUAAGUACCCCGAGGAAAAGAAAUCAACCGAGAUUCCCCCAGUAGCGGCGAGCGAACGGGGAGGAGCCCAGAGCCUGAAUCAGCAUGUGUGUUAGUGGAAGCGUCUGGAAAGGCGCGCGAUACAGGGUGACAGCCCCGUACACAAAAGCGCAUGUGCUGUGAGCUCGAUGAGUAGGGCGGGACACGUGGUAUCCUGUCUGAAUAUGGGGGGACCAUCCUCCAAGGCUAAAUACUCCUGACUGACCGAUAGUGAACCAGUACCGUGAGGGAAAGGCGAAAAGAACCCCGGCGAGGGGAGUGAAAAAGAACCUGAAACCG